GAACUUGGAGAUAGCUGGUUCUCUCCGAAAUAGCUUUAGGGCUAGCGUCGAUGUUAAGUCUCUUGGAGGUAGAGCACUGUUUGAUUGAGGGGUCCAUCCCGGAUUACCAAUAUCAGAUAAACUCCGAAUGCCAAUGAGAUAUAAUCGGCAGUCAGACUGCGAGUGCUAAGAUCCGUAGUCGAAAGGGAAACAGCCCAGACCACCAGCUAAGGUCCCAAAAUAUAUGUUAAGUGGAAAAGGAUGUGGGGUUGCACAGACAACUAGGAUGUUAGCUUAGAAGCAGCUAUUCAUUCAAAGAGUGCGUAAUAGCUCACUAGUCGAGUGACCCUGCGCCGAAAAUGUACCGGGGCUAAAACAUAUUACCGAAGCUGUGGAUACCUUUUAGGUAUGGUAGGAGAGCGUUCUAUGUGUGAAGAAGGUGUACCGUGAGGAGCGCUGGAACGCAUAGAAGUGAGAAUGCCGGUAUGAGUAGCGAAAGACAGGUGAGAAUCCUGUCCACCGUAUGACUAAGGUUUCCAGGGGAAGGCUCGUCCUCCCUGGGUUAGUCGGGACCUAAGGAGAGACCGAAAGGUGUAUCCGAUGGACAACAGGUUGAUAUUCCUGUACUAGAGUAUAUAGUGAUGGAGGGACGCAGUAGGCUAACUAAAGCGUGCGAUUGGAAGUGCACGUCUAAGCAGUGAGGUGUGAUAUGAGUCAAAUGCUUAUAUCUUUAACAUUGAGCUGUGAUGGGGAGCGAAGUUAAGUAGCGAAGUUAGUGAUGUCACACUGCCAAGAAAAGCUUCUAGCGUUAAUUAUACUCUACCCGUACCGCAAACCGACACAGGUAGUCGAGGCGAGUAGCCUCAGGUGAGCGAGAGAACUCUCGUUAAGGAACUCGGCAAAAUGGCCCCGUAACUUCGGGAGAAGGGGCGCUGGCUUUAAGUCAGCCGCAGUGAAUAGGCCCAAGCAACUGUUUAUCAAAAACACAGCUCUCUGCUAAAUCGUAAGAUGAUGUAUAGGGGGUGACGCCUGCCCGGUGCUGGAAGGUUAAGAGGAGCGCUUAGCAUUAGCGAAGGUGUGAAUUGAAGCCCCAGUAAACGGCGGCCGUAACUAUAACGGUCCUAAGGUAGCGAAAUUCCUUGUCGGGUAAGUUCCGACCCGCACGAAAGGCGUAAUGAUUUGGGCACUGUCUCAACGAGAGACUCGGUGAAAUUUUAGUACCUGUGAAGAUGCAGGUUACCCGCGACAGGACGGAAAGACCCCAUGGAGCUUUACUGCAGUUUGAUAUUGAGUAUCUGUACCACAUGUACAGGAUAGGUAGGAGCCUAUGAAAUCGGGACGCUAGUUUCGGUGGAGGCGUUGUUGGGAUACUACCCUUGUGUUAUGGCUACUCUAACCUAGAUAGGUUAUCCCUAUCGGAGACAGUGUCUGACGGGCAGUUUGACUGGGGCGGUCGCCUCCUAAAAGGUAACGGAGGCGCCCAAAGGUUCCCUCAGAAUGGUUGGAAAUCAUUCGCAGAGUGUAAAGGUAUAAGGGAGCUUGACUGCGAGAGCUACAACUCGAGCAGGGACGAAAGUCGGGCUUAGUGAUCCGGUGGUUCCGCAUGGAAGGGCCAUCGCUCAACGGAUAAAAGCUACCCUGGGGAUAACAGGCUUAUCUCCCCCAAGAGUUCACAUCGACGGGGAGGUUUGGCACCUCGAUGUCGGCUCGUCGCAUCCUGGGGCUGUAGUCGGUCCCAAGGGUUGGGCUGUUCGCCCAUUAAAGCGGCACGCGAGCUGGGUUCAGAACGUCGUGAGACAGUUCGGUCCCUAUCCGUCGCGGGCGUAGGAAAUUUGAGAGGAUCUGCUCCUAGUACGAGAGGACCAGAGUGGACUUACCGCUGGUGUACCAGUUGUCUUGCCAAAGGCAUCGCUGGGUAGCUAUGUAGGGAAGGGAUAAACGCUGAAAGCAUCUAAGUGUGAAGCCCACCUCAAGAUGAGAUUUCCCAUGAUUUUAUAUCAGUAAGAGCCCUGAGAGAUGAUCAGGUAGAUAGGUUAGAAGUGUAAGUGUGGUGACACAUGUAGCGGACUAAUACUAAUAGCUCGAGGACUUAUCCAA
rnacentral:rRNA from 1 species